rnacentral:rRNA from 1 species
GUGGGGAAUAUUGGACAAUGGGCGCGAGCCUGAUCCAGCCAUGCCGCGUGAGUGAUGAAGGCCUUAGGGUUGUAAAGCUCUUUCAGUGGGGACGAUAAUGACGGUACCCACAGAAGAAGCCCCGGCUAACUUCGUGCCAGCAGCCGCGGUAAUACGAAGGGGGCUAGCGUUGUUCGGAAUUACUGGGCGUAAAGCGCACGUAGGCGGGUAUUUAAGUCAGGGGUGAAAUCCCGGAGCUCAACUCCGGAACUGCCUUUGAUACUGGGUACCUAGAGUAUGGAAGAGGUAAGUGGAAUUCCGGGUGUAGAGGUGAAAUUCGUAGAUAUUCGGAGGAACACCAGUGGCGAAGGCGGCUUACUGGUCCAUUACUGACGCUGAGGUGCGAAAGCGUGGGGAGCAAACAGGAUUAGAUACCCUUGUAGUCC